rnacentral:rRNA from 1 species
AUGCAUCGAGUCCUCCGCGCGGCUGCGGCGGCGGCCGCGGGGAUCGCCACGGCCCCGGCUCGCCGCCACCGCGCGCCGAGCUGGGGCGCGGCCACGGCCAGGUGGUUCUCGGUCGAACGGGAGGCGAUGAGCUACGACGUCGUGAUCGUGGGCGCCGGCCCGGCGGGCCUCGCCGCCGCCAUCCGGCUGAAGCAGCUCUGCCGCGCGGCCGACACCGACCUCUCCGUCUGCGUCCUCGAGAAGGGAGCCGAAGUCGGUGCUCAUAUACUGUCAGGGAAUGUGUUCGAGCCCCGUGCGUUGGAUGAGCUCAUCCCGAAGUGGAGGCAAGAGGAUGUAUGCCCUUCUGUAUUCUGCAUUCGAUAUGCCCCAAUCAGAGUCCCUGUCUCAUCUGACAAGUUCUGGAUGUUAACAAAGAACAAGGCAUGGACACUUCCAUCUCCUUUUGAUAACAAAGGGAACUAUGUAAUAAGCUUGAGCCAAUUGGUGCGAUGGAUGUCCGUAAAGGCUGAAGAAUUAGGUGUUGAAGUGUAUCCAGGGUUUGCUGCGAGUGAGAUCCUUUAUGAUGAAAAUCAAAUAGUCGCAGGCGUUGCAACCAAUGAUGUUGGUAUUGCUAAAGAUGGUAGUAAACGGGAAACUUUUCAACCGGGUGUGGAACUAAGAGGGCGAAUAAUACUUCUAGCUGAGGGUUGCCGGGGUUCAUUAUCAGAGAAAAUAAUAACGAAUCACAAGCUCAGAGAAAGUGGGCAAGGCCAACAUCAAACGUAUGCUCUUGGAAUCAAAGAGGUCUGGGAGAUAGAAGAAGGAAAGCAUAAGCCAGGUUCUGUGGUUCAUACUGUAGGGUGGCCUUUGGACAUGAAGACAUAUGGAGGAUCAUUUCUAUACCACCUUGAUGAUAGACAGUUAGCAAUUGGUCUGGUUGUUGCCUUGAAUUAUCGAAAUCCUUUUCUCAGCCCAUACGAUGAGUUCCAGAAAUUCAAGCAGCACCCUGCGAUCAGAACACUUCUGGAAGGUGGAACAGUUCUUCAGUAUGGUGCUCGUACUUUGAAUGAAGGUGGUUUUCAGUCAAUACCAAAUCCAGUUUUCCCCGGUGGUGCAAUUAUUGGAUGCUCUGCAGGGUUCCUAAAUGUUCCCAAAAUAAAAGGAUCACAUACCGCUAUGAAAUCAGGUAUGCUUGCGGCAGAAGCAACUUUCAAGGCUCUGGUUGAAGGAUCUUCCAUUGAUCUGUACUGGGAGAAUCUCAAGAAGUCAUGGAUAUGGGACGAACUCUAUAGAGCUCGGAAUUAUAGACCAGCAUUUGAAUACGGAUUUAUUCCUGGCAUGGCCUUGUCAGCAGUGGAACGCUACAUAUUCAAAGGGAAGUCACCUUUUACACUGAAGCAUGGGAAGCCUGACCAUGAAGCUACAGAAAUGGUCAAUCUGCAUUCGCCUAUUUCGUAUCCAAAACCAGAUGGGCAGGUGUCCUUUGACGUUCCGUCUUCUUUAUACAGGAGCAACACAAACCAUGAGCAUGACCAGCCUCCUCAUCUCCGGUUGAGGGAUCCUGCAGUACCUGAAACCGUAAAUCUCCCACAGUAUGCUGGACCAGAGUCGCGUUAUUGUCCAGCUCGAGUUUACGAAUAUGUAUCUGACGAGAAUGGUGACCCGAAGCUUCACAUAAAUGCUCAAAAUUGUCUUCAUUGCAAGGCUUGUGACAUAAAAGAUCCAAAGCAAAACAUCGAGUGGACUGUCCCGGAAGGCGGAGGAGGACCUGGUUACACAGUGAUGUGA